rnacentral:SRP_RNA from 1 species
CCGUGCUAGGCGGGGUGUUAGCGGUACCCUGAUUCCCUGAAAGCCAGGGAGGACUCGCAAGCCGCUGCAGCGAGGCUGACGACUCCGCUGAGGGUCGCCCCCGGUGAGCCACUCCGUUUCGUGCGGCGGUGUUGAACGUGGGGUCCUCCACAACGGGCGCCCGUGAACCUGGUCAGUUCCGGAAGGAAGCAGCCAUAAGCGGGAAAGCGCGUGUGUCGGAGGGUUGCUCGACGGGAGCCGCGCGCGCGUUCCGGACCUCAGCGGAAGACUCGAAGCGGAGUGCACGG